UACGGAGGGAGCUAGCGUUAUUCGGAAUUACUGGGCGUAAAGCGUGCGCAGGCGGUUCGUUGUGUCGGCGGUGAAAGCCCCGGGCUUAACCUGGGAAUGGCCGUUGAAACUGGCGAACUGGAGUGUGGCAGAGGGGGGUGGAAUUCCGCGUGUAGCAGUGAAAUGCGUAGAGAUGCGGAGGAACACCGAUGGCGAAGGCAGCCCCCUGGGCUAACACUGACGCUCAGGCACGAAAGCGUGGGGAGCAAACAGG
rnacentral:rRNA from 1 species